rnacentral:rRNA from 1 species
UUGGCGAGCAGAUGCUAACUGCAAGUCGAACGAAUCUUCGGAUUUAAUGGCGGACGGGUGAGUAACGCGUGAUAAUCUGCCUUCAGGACGGGGACAACAGUUGGAAACGACUGCUAAUACCCGAUGUGCCGCAAGGUGAAAUUUAUUUAGCCUGAAGAGGAGCUCGCGUCCGAUUAGCUAGUUGGGGUGGUAAAAGCGCACCAAGGCAACGAUCGGUAGCUGGUCUGAGAGGAUGAGCAGCCACACUGGGACUGAGACACGGCCCAGACUCCUACGGGAGGCAGCAGUGGGGAAUUUUCCGCAAUGGGCGAAAGCCUGACGGAGCAAUACCGCGUGAGGGAGGAAGGCUUUUGGGUUGUAAACCUCUUUUCUCAAGGAAGAAGAACUGACGGUACUUGAGGAAUCAGCAUCGGCUAACUCCGUGCCAGCAGCCGCGGUAAUACGGAGGAUGCAAGCGUUAUCCGGAAUUAUUGGGCGUAAAGCGUCCGCAGGUGGUACAUCAAGUCCGCUGUUAAAGACCAGGGCUUAACCCCGGGAAGGCAGUGGAAACUGAUGAACUAGAGUACGGUAGGGGUAGAGGGAAUUCCCAGUGUAGCGGUGAAAUGCGUAGAGAUUGGGAAGAACACCAGUGGCGAAGGCGCUCUACUGGACCUGUACCGACACUCAGGGACGAAAGCUAGGGUAGCGAAAGGGAUUAGAUACCCCUGUAGUCCUAGCCGUAAACGAUGGAUACUAGGCGCUGCUUGUAUCGACCCGAGCAGUGCCGUAGCUAACGUGUUAAGUAUCCCGCCUGGGGAGUACGCACGCAAGUGUGAAACUCAAAGGAAUUGACGGG